AUGAUUCAUGUGUGUGUGUGUGUGUGUGUGUGUGUGUGUGCAGCUUCCUCACAUGCCGCACAUCAGAGAGUGUCUGAUGAAGAGGAGUCUGAAGCCCACGGAUCUCAGAGACAUGACGCUGGGACAGCUGCAGGUGAUCGUCAACGACCUGCACUCUCAGAUCGAGGGUCUGAACGAGGCGCUGGUGCAGCUGCUGCUGAUGAGGGACGAGCUUCACAUGGAGCAGGACGCCAUGCUGGUGGACAUCGAGGACCUGACCAGGCGCGCUCAGAGCCAGCAGAAGCACCUGACGGAGAAGACGCUCUCCAAAUGAAGCCGCACACCUCCACAGCAUCACCUUUCCUUUGCUUCUGUGCUCCGUCAGUCCUCCAGGACGUGCUGGACGCUGCCACCGGCUGCUGCAGCCAUCGCCUCAUAGACCGUCUCAGUCCUUUACGUUUGCCACUCAACUAGAACUGUCCGAACAUACAGCGGUGUGAGGAGCUCCACGCCUCCUCCAGCAAGCCCCGAGUCCACUGCUCGGACAGUAUUUAAACACAGCCGAGGGUCUGAAGGUGCUCCAGAGGAAACAUGCCUGCCUUGUAGUCGACUUGUAGCUUUUGGUAACGUUCACUGCGACCGGUACUCAACAUUUCGUGAAUGUUGAGUCUGACACGAGUCGUCUGAAUAAGUGUGUUCAUAUCAUUUUCAUUCUAUUGUAUCCAGAUUCUUUAUUUGAGGGAGAUGCUUAUGUACAGAUGUGUAUAAAAUAAGAAAAAUAAAACUUUGUUUCAUAGACCGCA
ensembl:lncRNA